rnacentral:rRNA from 1 species
CGACAACGUACCGCAUGGUGCNUUGGUGAAGAUUUAUCGCUUUCUUGAUGGAACUCGCGUCUGAUUAGAUAGUUGGUGAGGUAACGGCUCACCAAGUCGACGAUCAGUAGCCGGACUGAGAGGUUGAACGGCCACAUUGGGACUGAGACACGGCCCAGACUCCUACGGGAGGCAGCAGUGGGAAUAUUGCGCAAUGGGGCAACCCUGACGCAGCAACGCCGCGUGAAGGAUGAAGGUCUUCGGAUUGUAAACUUUUGUCUUUGGUGAAGAUAAUGACGGUAGCCAAGGAGGAAGCCACGGCUAACUACGUG